rnacentral:rRNA from 1 species
GAUGAACGCUGACAGAAUGCUUAACACAUGCAAGUCUACUUGAUCCUUCGGGUGAUGGUGGCGGACGGGUGAGUAACGCGUAAAGAACUUGCCCUGCAGUCUGGGACAACAUUUGGAAACGAAUGCUAAUACCGGAUAUUAUGUGAGUUUCGCGUGAAAUUCAUAUGAAAGCUAUAUGCGCUGCAGGAGAGCUUUGCGUCCUAUUAGCUAGUUGGUGAGGUAACGGCUCACCAAGGCGAUGAUAGGUAGCCGGCCUGAGAGGGUGAACGGCCACAAGGGGACUGAGACACGGCCCUUACUCCUACGGGAGGCAGCAGUGGGGAAUAUUGGACAAUGGACCAAAAGUCUGAUCCAGCAAUUCUGUGUGCACGAUGAAGUUUUUCGGAAUGUAAAGUGCUUUCAGUUGGGACGAAGUAAGUGACGGUACCAACAGAAGAAGCGACGGCUAAAUACGUGCCAGCAGCCGCGGUAAUACGUAUGUCGCAAGCGUUAUCCGGAUUUAUUGGGCGUAAAGCGCGUCUAGGCGGUUUGGUAAGUCUGAUGUGAAAAUGCGGGGCUCAACUCCGUAUUGCGUUGGAAACUGCCAAACUAGAGUACUGGAGAGGUGGGCGGAACUACAAGUGUAGAGGUGAAAUUCGUAGAUAUUUGUAGGAAUGCCGAUGGGGAAGCCAGCCCACUGGACAGAUACUGACGCUAAAGCGCGAAAGCGUGGGUAGCAAACAGG